UACGUAGGGUGCAAGCGUUGUCCGGAAUUACUGGGCGUAAAGAGUUCGUGGGCGGUUUGUCGCGUCGUUUGUGAAAACUCACAGCUCAACUGUGAGCCUGCAGGCGAUACGGGCAGACUUGAGUACUGCAGGGGAGACUGGAAUUCCUGGUGUAGCGGUGAAAUGCGCAGAUAUCAGGAGGAACACCGGUGGCGAAGGCGGGUCUCUGGGCAGUAACUGACGCUGAGGAACGAAAGCGUGGGUAGCAAACAGG
rnacentral:rRNA from 1 species